CAGUCGCCGCGGGAAUACGGAGGGUGCAAGCGUUAAUCGGAAUUACUGGGCGUAAAGCGCACGCAGGCGGUCUGACAAGUCAGAUGUGAAAUCCCCGGGCUUAACCUGGGAACUGCAUUUGAAACUGUCAGGCUGGAGUCUUGUAGAGGGGGGUAGAAUUCCAGGUGUAGCGGUGAAAUGCGUAGAGAUCUGGAGGAAUACCGGUGGCGAAGGCGGCCCCCUGGACAAAGACUGACGCUCAGGUGCGAAAGCGUGGGGAGCAAACAGGAUUAGAUAACCGCGUAGUCCCUGUCUCUUAUAC
rnacentral:rRNA from 1 species